UACAGAGGGGGCGAGCGUUAUUCGGAAUUAUUGGGCGUAAAGGGCGCGUAGGCGGCUUUUCAAGUGACGGGUGAAAUCCCUCGGCUUAACCGAGGAACUGCCUGUCAGACUGGAAGGCUUGAGACCGGGAGAGGUGAGUGGAAUUCCCAGUGUAGCGGUGAAAUGCGUAGAUAUUGGGAGGAACACCAGUGGCGAAGGCGGCUCACUGGACCGGAACUGGACGCUGAGGCGCGAAAGCGUGGGGAGCAAACAGG
rnacentral:rRNA from 1 species